rnacentral:misc_RNA from 1 species
GAUGAAGAACGUAGCGAAAUGCGAUAAGUAAUGUGAAUUGCAGAAUUCAGUGAAUCAUCGAAUCUUUGAACGCACCUUGCGCCCUUUGGACAUUCCGAAGGGCAUGCCUGUUUGAGUAUCAUGAACACCUCAACUCUCACGGCUUGUCCGUGAUGAGCUUGGACUUUGGGGGUCUUGCCGGCCUGUGGUCGGCUCCUCUCAAAUGGAUCAGCUUGCCAGUGUUUGGUGGCAUCACAGGUGUGAUAACUAUCUGCGCUUGUGGUUUUCCAUCAGAUAACCUUCAGUGAUAUGGAGGUUCGCUGGAGCUCACAAAUGUCUCUCCUUAGUGAGGACAGCUCUUUGAACGUUUGAUCUCAGAUCAGGUAGGACUACCCGCUGAACUUAAGCAUAUCAAUAAGCGGAGGA